rnacentral:rRNA from 1 species
AGCGAACGCUGGCGGCAGGCUUAACACAUGCAAGUCGAACGGGCAUCUUCGGAUGUCAGCGGCAGACGGGUGAGUAACACGUGGGAACGUACCCUUCGGUUCGGAACAACUCUGGGAAACUGGAGCUAAUACCGGAUACGCCCUUAUGGGGAAAGGUUUACUGCCGAAGGAUCGGCUCGCGUCUGAUUAGCUAGUUGGUGGGGUAACGGCCUACCAAGGCGACGAUCAGUAGCUGGUCUGAGAGGAUGAUCAGCCACACUGGGACUGAGACACGGCCCAGACUCCUACGGGAGGCAGCAGUGGGGAAUAUUGGACAAGGGGCGCAAGCCUGAUCCAGCCAUGCCGCGUGAGUGAUGAAGGCCUUAGGGUUGUAAAGCUCUUUUGUCCGGGACGAUAAUGACGGUACCGGAAGAAUAAGCCCCGGCCAACUUCGUG